rnacentral:tRNA from 1 species
GCCCAGAUGAUGGAAUGGCAGACAUGUAGCGUUCAGAGCGCUAUGCCCGUAAGGGCGUGGGAGUUCAACUCUCCCUCUGGGCA